UACGUAGGGUGCAAGCGUUGUCCGGAAUUAUUGGGCGUAAAGAGCUCGUAGGCGGUUUGUUGCGUCGGCUGUGAAAUCCCCAGGCUCAACCUGGGAACUGCGUCUGAUACUGGAUGGCUUGAGUUCGGGAGAGGGAUGCGGAAUUCCAGGUGUAGCGGUGAAAUGCGUAGAUAUCUGGAGGAACACCGGUGGCGAAGGCGGCAUCCUGGACCGAUACUGACGCUGAGGAGCGAAAGCCAGGGGAGCAAACGGG
rnacentral:rRNA from 1 species